CGGUUCUCGUACGAUCACCGAAGUUAAGCAAAGUCGAGCCUGGUCAGUACGUAGAUGGGUGACCGCUUGGGAAUACCAGGUGCUGUAAA